GACAACAGCAAAUCUUGUGAAAUCUGUAAUCUUUCGAAAAACCCACAUCAAAUCUUGAAAGAUCUGUAAUCUUUUGACAUACCCACAUCAAAUCUUAUGAAAUCUCUUAUCUUUUUGAAGAACCUACGUCGAUCCUUGAAGGAAUAUUUUGAAUUUUGAGGGCUAAAGUUGAAAAAAAGAUGAAAGAUGAGAAUGGUACUAACAGCAGCGGCGGCGGCGGCAGCGGAGAGAGGCGGAGCCACCGGCUGUCGUUGUCGGAUGUGGUGUCUAAUUGUUUGAGGAGGUGGGUGAAGAAGAGGAAAGGCUUCACGGAUUGUGGGUGAAAGCAGAUGGUGAGGAAGAGGGGGUAUCGUUUGGUCUGAGGUGCGGUCGGAAUCUGCUGUUGGUCGGAGUGGGUCUCCGGCGACCGGAGGUUAGAGAGGAGAAGAGGAGUGUGGGCUUGUACGGUUGUGAAGUGUGGGCUUGUACGGUUGUGAAGCAGAUGCAGCGGAUGUUUGUUGGAUUGGCUGGGAUAGAUUGUAGAUGAUGAGCAAAGUGUUCAGGAAUCAGAAACACUGCUCUGAUACCAUAACAACAGGUAUAGAGAUAAAAAAUGUUUUUGAUUACUGAGUUCAUGCUUGAAUAAACAUACAUAUGCCCAAUU
rnacentral:lncRNA from 1 species